GCAAAGUUAGUAAGGAAGAAUAAUAAUAAUGUCCGUGAUUUCUGGCCUUGAUUUUGUGCUUAAUCCACGGGUGCUCGUAUAAAUUGACCAAAAUGAUAUUCAACUAGAUAUAUUAUGAAUUAUGACACUUUAGUUUAGGUAUAAUCUAGAUUAGUACGUGAUACUGUGAUAGUGAGAGAGAACAGAUGUGCAUAGCGACUCUCACUAGCCGAAAUUUGCGAC